CCUACGGGAGGCAGCAGUGGGGAAUAUUGGACAAUGGGGGGAACCCUGAUCCAGCCAUGCCGCGUGUGUGAAGAAGGCCCUCGGGUUGUAAAGCGCUUUCAGUGAGGAAGAACGCCUGGUGGUUAAUACCCAUCAGGAAAGACAUCACUCACAGAAGAAGCACCGGCUAACUCCGUGCCAGCAGCCGCGGUAAUACGGAGGGUGCGAGCGUUAAUCGGAAUUACUGGGCGUAAAGCGCGCGUAGGUGGCUUGAUAAGCCGGUUGUGAAAGCCCCGGGCUCAACCUGGGAACGGCAUCCGGAACUGUCAAGCUAGAGUGCAGGAGAGGAAGGUAGAAUUCCCGGUGUAGCGGUGAAAUGCGUAGAGAUCGGGAGGAAUACCAGUGGCGAAGGCGGCCUUCUGGACUGACACUGACACUGAGGUGCGAAAGCGUGGGUAGCAAACAGGAUUAGAUACCCUUGUAGUC
rnacentral:rRNA from 1 species